CCGACGUCCUGGACACCUGGUUCUCCUCCGGCCUGUGGCCGUUCUCCACGCUGGGCUGGCCCGAGCAGACCGAC
rnacentral:tRNA from 1 species